ensembl:snRNA U2 U2 spliceosomal RNA
GUCUGUUCUUGUCCAUAUUGGGGCUGUUUGAACAGUACACUUGAUUGAGGCAUAUCUGUUCUUAUCAGUUUAAUAUCUGAUAUGCCCUCUAUAUGAGGGGUUCAUAUUGGGUGGAUUUUUAAACCAGGGAGCCAGAACAGGAGCUUGCUCCUUCUGCUCCACGCAUCGACCUGGUAUUGCAGUACCUCCAGGAGUGGUGCACUUUCC